CCUGCCUCAAAGAGGGGGACAACAGUUGGAAACGACUGCUAAUACCGCAUAAGCCCACGACCCGGCAUCGGGUUGAGGGAAAAGGAGCAAUCCGCUUUGAGAUGGCCUCGCGUCCGAUUAGCUAGUUGGUGAGGUAAUGGCCCACCAAGGCAACGAUCGGUAGCCGGACUGAGAGGUUGAACGGCCACAUUGGGACUGAGACACGGCCCAGACUCCUACGGGAGGCAGCAGUGGGGAAUAUUGCACAAUGGGGGAAACCCUGAUGCAGCGACGCCGCGUGGAGGAAGAAGGUCUUCGGAUUGUAAACUCCUGUUGUUGGGGAAGAUAAUGACGGUACCCAACAAGGAAGUGACGGCUAACUACGUGCCAGCAGCCGCGGUAAAACGUAGGUCACAAGCGUUGUCCGGAAUUACUGGGUGUAAAGGGAGCGCAGGCGGGAAGACAAGUUGGAAGUGAAAUCCAUGGGCUCAACCCAUGAACUGCUUUCAAAACUGUUUUUCUUGAGUAGUGCAGAGGUAGGCGGAAUUCCCGGUGUAGCGGUGGAAUGCGUAGAUAUCGGGAGGAACACCAGUGGCGAAGGCGGCCUACUGGGCACCAACUGACGCUGAGGCUCGAAAGUGUGGGUAGCAAACAGGAUUAGAUACCCUGGUAGUCCACACCGUAAACGAUGAUUACUAGGUGUUGGAGGAUUGACCCCUUCAGUGCCGCAGUUAACACAAUAAGUAAUCCACCUGGGGAGUA
rnacentral:rRNA from 1 species